UACGUAGGGGGCAAGCGUUGGUCCGGAAUCAUUGGGCGUAAGAAGCGUGUAGGCGGCCAGAUAAGUCCGCUGUGAAAUCUCGAGGCUCAACUUCGAGCUGUCGGUGGAAACUGUCUGGCUAGAGUCCGGAAGAGGAGAAUGGAAUUCCUGGUGUAGCGGUGAAAUGCGCAGAUAUCAGGAAGAACACCCGUGGCGAAGGCGGUUCUCUGGGACGGUACUGACGCUGAGACGCGAAAGCGUGGGGAGCGAACAGG
rnacentral:rRNA from 1 species